UACGAAGGGGGCUAGCGUUGCUCGGAAUUACUGGGCGUAAAGGGCGCGUAGGCGGCACUGUUAGUCAGGCGUGAAAGUCCUGGGCUCAACCUGGGAACUGCGCUUGAUACGGCAGAGCUAGAGGAUGGAAGAGGGUCGCGGAAUUCCCAGUGUAGAGGUGAAAUUCGUAGAUAUUGGGAAGAACACCGGUGGCGAAGGCGGUUUACUGGUCUCCAACUGACACUGAACCGCGAAAGCAUGGGUAGCGAACGGG
rnacentral:rRNA from 1 species